AACGCAAAUUGCGCCCGAGGCUUCGGCCAAAGGCAUGUCUGCCUCAGCGUCGGCUUCACCCCUCCCCUCCCUUUUCUCUUUUUGCGAAGAGAAAGGCGAGGGGGACCUGGUUGUCUCGGCCCUCACCGGCCGGGUCCGCCGAAGCACAGAGGCUCGAGCAGGACCCCGUUACAAGGGCAACAGUCUGGUAGGCGACCUCCCCGGUCGCAUGCCGCUGGUGCCUGGGGCGCCUGCUGGUCGAGCCCGCAGGAAGUGGCUGCUUGCCACGCCUUCACCAUUCGACCUGAGUUCAGGCAAGAGCACCCGCUGAACUUAA
rnacentral:misc_RNA from 1 species